rnacentral:lncRNA from 13 species
AUGCGACCGUUUUUAUCCUGGAGUAUGACAGAUACAAUGUCUAGACUGUCCUCGGUUGCUUCUCUUCGACUACCAGCCAUUCAGCACCCGUUAUCAAGACUCAUAGACCCAGAAACCCUCUCUCUCAGAGGCUACUCCAGAGAUUACGCUGGGAGUGACGAAGUUGUACCGCCGGGGUUGCGGGAUGGGGACCUCGACUUUGUUUUCCGAGGUCAAAACACAAGAAGGGCCACAGGUUAUCCUUAUGACAAGGCUCCGCCGAAGCAGAGCAGUUUCAGCCUGGUCUCGCAGCCAAUCCCCGAAGGAGUCAAAGUCUCAGUAGCCCUUGAUCCGGUUAAACCACGGCUGCCCAUCUUUGGUCAGCGGGUGGCACCAGAGAGCAGGGGGAGCCGAGUCACCAGCCUAACCAGUACCAUUAAAACCAGCAUCACCAGUCAAACCAGUACCAGCAGAACCAGUAUCCUUACCAGAACUACUACCGCAGCCUCCUGCCCUGAGGCCCAGCUCAGGAUCCAAGUGGACCAGCUUGAGCGCGAGCUAAGGCAGAACAUUCAGUUGUUAGGACACUUGAACCUUCAACGAAUGUUCAAGAACAACCAUCCGGAGGGAAAAGCACUGGCCAACAGAGAUGUGUUGCUGAUGAUCCUCACCAAGUUUCUGGGCCGAUUCAUCACACUGCAGCAGUACAGCCAGUUGCUGCUCCGACUGCAUUUGUCGAAGAAGGCAGCCAUUAGCUUUGAGGAGCUGUGGGAGGCCAUAAGAGAGUCUGGAGCAGGUGGACCAGCCACUUGGUUUAACCCCACCCAGGAUCCGAGUACAACCCCUCCCCUUUCUCCAGCUAAAGUCACAGCCUCCCAGACCCUAUCCCUAUUGCGGGGACAGGCCCAGAACAGGUUCCUGGAGGUCAUAGAGUCACGUCCCACAGAGCUAGGCCUACAGAGGAUCAGUUUGAUUGUAGCUCCAGAGCUGAAGAGAUGUCUUGCACAGUUGGGCCUCAACUUAGAGGACCGGGAGUUUGAGAAGCUUUGGAAGAAAUUUGACAGCAAAGGACUUGGAGCCGUGAACGUGAGAGGUUUGCUAAGGAAACUUGGACUGAGCCAGAUUAAGACCUCAGACACCAACGAUAAUAAUGAUCAAGUUUCAUCUUCUAUCAAUGGUGAAGACACCAAAGCCAGACCCAGGGCCCUGUCGAAGUCGGAGGAGGAGCGUGGGGUAUCCAUCACCAUGGAGAAGUGGCUGAAGGACAAGUUUAGGGAGGGCGUCCAGAGAAUGAAAUCCCAGUUUGACCAACUGGAUCCAGACCAGACCUGCAAGGUGGGCCUGGAGGAGUUUCUGCAGGUGUUGAAGACCUUUGGCCUGAAUCUAAAGAGGGAGCAUGUGGGCUUGUUUUUGGCUCGCUGUGGCCUGGGACUCAACAAGACAGGUGUGAUCCAUUACCCAGAGUUCCUCCGCAUGUUUCAGGACCGCAGCGAGGAAGGGGUCACACAUAGGAUCCUAUCCAAUCCACAACACAGGUUUCACCAUAUCCAGGGGAGCAUCAGCCAUGCGUCCACAGUCACCAUGGUGGAGGCUAAACUGGCUCGACUCUUCCAGUCAGAGUACCUCGCUCUGUUAGAAAUGUUUCAGAGCAUUGAUAAAUGCCACAGGAGGGUGGUGAGCCAGGAGGAGUUUCGAGCAGCGAUUGAGAGCAGGUAUUUUGUCCCUCUCCUGUUCCUCUCGUAUGUUUUGACUUUGUUGUAA